ensembl:lncRNA
UUACUAUUUUUACAUUAGUCCUUUAUUUUUAUGUCUCCCAGCACACACACACUCCACUUUUCAUAUUUCCUAUUAGUUUUCUGCUGUUACAGUAAUAAAAAGAAACUCAACAACCAGAAAGGUGAAAUACAAUCGUUUUUAAUUGCAAAAAGGAUACCGGUUAAUACAUUGAAUGAAGCACUGAAACAAGCCACUGUGACAUUGCAAAAUACCACUAAAAAGGACAUUGUAAAAUUUCAGAGAAACAAAAUAAAGUCAUUCAUUCGAUCAGAAAGGCAUACAUAUGAAAGAGCGAACAGGAGGGGAGCAUAUUUACACCACAACCGAGAGUCCUGUGUCUCUACAAAACAAAGUGUGUUUGGAGGCCUCCUCAUUUAAGACGUUUAAAAAUGUUUUUACAAAUGGCCGUUAACAAAGUACAAGCCUGUUAUGUCCCAGUUUAACUUUCUAUCAAAAGAUGUUAAUUUUAAAAAGAAAAAAAGAAGAAAGAAAAGACGGGGGGGAAAAAAAGGCACCAUCCAUCUUACAUGGCGGCAUCUGGUUUACACAAGUCAACCAAAGUACUGUGGUAAGCGUUUUGUAUGCUGUAAGUAUUAAGCUGCAGAAAACUCAAGCUGACGAGAACAGUAUUAGCACGUUAAGUUUUACAGAACUAAGUGUUUGAGAAGACUGACAACAAACAGGGUCUUUUGUACAAAAAAAAAUUAAAAACAAUUGGUGAAGUGAGGUGUCCCUGCUGUUGGAUUAGCUGAUAAUGUUACAGUAGCUGUUUUGCUGGUUUAACAGCGCUCCCUGCAGGAGAAAGAGUGUAGGACACAGCACCAGAUAGUGUUGCUUUAGCCCAUUACAAAGCUGCUAUUUAAAGCUCAUCUACAGGGCAGGCACCAAAUCACUCCAAAGAUGUGCAACUUUGGGAGUGCCGCUUUGUCACAAUAGAAUAACUACACGGAAAUGUCGGGGUUUUGUUCGUUUCUUGUUAAGGUUAUUUAAAAAAAAAAGAAAAGAAAAAAAAAAAGCCAUGUACAGAAAGAAAAACCAAACUGAUUUUUUUUUUUUUUAAAAACCAUUCUCGAUUCCAAAUGCAUAGAUAUUAAUUUAAAAGAAUGCUACAUAUGCAGCACGUCAUCUGUAUAUUGAGAAAUUGGUUGUAGUCACACCUUGUAAUGCUGGCAAGUAGGCAGUAAAGUGUCUGUUGCUGUGGUGAAUAAGUAGCUCCCUGCUUUGUGCUUCACCAUAGUCCAAUUUAGAGAUUUCUCAGGCUCUAUUCCCUGCAAAAAUCUGAGAAAACCCCCUUUCAGUAGAUUUGCUUGACAUACGAUGCGAGUCCAAGUGAUAGAAAAAGGGAAUAUGGCGACAGAAAUAAAAGAUUGCACACAAAAGCUUGGGGGGGGUGUUUAGAGCUCACGUGAGCAAGGAAAACUAGGAAAUAAGUCCUACACAAGUACCCUCAAUAUAAAUUAAACUUUAUAAAAAUUUAAAACCCACACAUCGAUUUAGACAACUGUUAUGUUUUCAUCACUCCUCCCCUCUUAAUUGGAGAACUAUGCUGAGCCAUGCAAGAAAAAGGGAGAUAUCCCACUACCGUUAGCGCCCUGAUAAAACUAACCGCCUCAGAUGAGCAUGAUUUAAGCAUGACAUAUUUGGAUGCUUUUCAAAGGUAACAUGCAUAAAACUCCAGGUGUGCUUCUUCCACAAUAUUUUUAUUUUAAAUUGCUUAAAAUGAAAUACUCCCACUUUUUUUUUUUGUUUUUUUUUUUAUUUCUUUUUU